rnacentral:rRNA from 1 species
GAUGAACGCUGGCGGCGUGCCUAAUACAUGCAAGUCGAGCGAACGGACGAGAAGCUUGCUCCUCUGAUGUUAGCGGCGGACGGGUGAGUAACACGUGGAUAACCUACCUAUAAGACUGGGAUAACUUCGGGAAACCGUAGCUAAUACCGGAUAAUAUAUUGAACCGCAUGGUUCAAAAGUGAAAGACGGUCUUGCUGUCACUUAUAGAUGGAUCCGCGCUGCAUUAGCUAGUUGGUAAGGUAACGGCUUACCAAGGCAACGAUGCAUAGCCGACCUGAGAGGGUGAUCGGCCACACUGGAACUGAGACACGGUCCAGACUCCUACGGGAGGCAGCAGUAGGGAAUCUUCCGCAAUGGGCGAAAGCCUGACGGAGCAACGCCGCGUGAGUGAUGAAGGUCUUCGGAUCGUAAAACUCUGUUAUUAGGGAAGAACAUAUGUGUAAGUAACUGUGCACGUCUUGACGGUACCUAAUCAGAAAGCCACGGCUAACUACGUG